UACGGAGGAUCCGAGCGUUAUCCGGAUUUAUUGGGUUUAAAGGGUGCGCAGGCGGGAGAUUAAGUCGGCGGUGAAAUUUUGCAGCUCAACUGUAAAAGUGCCUUCGAAACUGGUUUCCUUGAGUGUGGAUGAAGUAGGCGGAAUUUGUGGUGUAGCGGUGAAAUGCUUAGAUAUCACGAGGAACUCCGAUUGCGCAGGCAGCUUACUAAACCACUACUGACGCUCAGGCACGAAGGCGUGGGGAGUCAAACAGGAUUAGAUACCCAGGUAGUCCCU
rnacentral:rRNA from 1 species